rnacentral:rRNA from 1 species
UGGGGAAUAUUGCACAAUGGGGGGAACCCUGAUGCAGCGAUGCCGCGUGGAGGAAGAAGGUUUUCGGAUUGUAAACUCCUGUCUUAAAGGACGAUAAUGACGGUACUUUAGGAGGAAGCUCCGGCUAACUACGUGCCAGCAGCCGCGGUAAUACGUAGGGAGCGAGCGUUGUCCGGAAUUACUGGGUGUAAAGGGAGCGUAGGCGGGAUUGCAAGUCAGAUGUGAAAUACGUGGGCUUAACCCACGGGCUGCAUUUGAAACUGUAGUUCUUGAGUGAAGUAGAGGCAAGCGGAAUUCCUGGUGUAGCGGUGAAAUGCGUAGAUAUCAGGAGGAACACCGGUGGCGAAGGCGGCUUGCUGGGCUUUUACUGACGCUGAGGCUCGAAAGCGUGGGGAGCAAACAGG